GACGAACGCUGGCGGCGUGCUUAACACAUGUAAGUCGAACGGAAAGGCCCUGCUUUUGUGGGGUGCUCGAGUGGCGAACGGGUGAGUAACACGUGAGUAACCUGCCCUUGACUUUGGGAUAACUUCAGGAAACUGGGGCUAAUACCGGAUAGGAGCUCCUGCUGCAUGGUGGGGGUUGGAAAGUUUCGGCGGUUGGGGAUGGACUCGCGGCUUAUCAGCUUGUUGGUGGGGUAGUGGCUUACCAAGGCUUUGACGGGUAGCCGGCCUGAGAGGGUGACCGGCCACAUUGGGACUGAGAUACGGCCCAGACUCCUACGGGAGGCAGCAGUGGCGAAUAUUGCACAAUGGGCGGAAGCCUGAUGCAGCAACGCCGCGUGCGGGAUGAAGGCCUUCGGGUUGUAAACCGCGUUCGCCUGGGACGAAGCGUGAGUGACGGUAAUGGGUAAAGAAGCACCGGCUAACUACGUG
rnacentral:rRNA from 1 species